rnacentral:pre_miRNA from 1 species
CGUUCCAAGGGGUUGGGUUUAUCGAAAGCAUAUAUCACAGCCCCGCUUGGAACU